rnacentral:rRNA from 1 species
CCAAUAGCGUAUAUUAAAGUUGUUGCAGUUAAAAAGCUCGUAGUUGAAUUUCGGGAUCAAAUUGUCGGUCGUGCCUCGGUACGUACUGGCGUUAUUGGUUCCUACCUUCUGAAGAACCACGAUGUCAUUAAUUUGGUGUCGCGGGGAAUCAGGACUGUUACUUUGAAAAAAUUAGAGUGUUUAAAGCAGGCUCGCGCCUGAAUACAUUAGCAUGGAAUAAUGAAAUAGGACGUUUGAUUCUAUUUUGUUGGUUUCUAGGAUCGACGUAAUGAUUAAUAGGGAUAGUUGGGGGCAUUAGUAUUCAAUUGUCAGAGGUGAAAUUCUUGGAUUUAUUGAAGACUAACUACUGCGAAAGCAUUUGCCAAGGAUGUUUUCAUUAAUCAAGAACGAAAGUUAGGGGAUCGAAGACGAUCAGAUACCGUCGUAGUCUUAACCAUAAACUAUGCCGACUAGGGAUCGGAUGAUGUUAAUUUUUUAAUGACUCAUUCGGCGCCUUACG